UACAGAGGUCCCAAGCGUUGUUCGGAUUCACUGGGCGUAAAGGGUGCGUAGGUGGUGAGGUAAGUCGGAUGUGAAAGCUCCGAGCUCAACUCGGAAAUGGCAUUGGAAACUACCUUGCUAGAGGGUUUGAGGGGGGACUGGAAUACUUGGUGUAGCAGUGAAAUGCGUAGAUAUCAAGUGGAACACCAGUGGCGAAGGCGGGUCUCUGGGCCGAUACUGACGCUGAGGAGCGAAAGCGUGGGGAGCAAACAGG
rnacentral:rRNA from 1 species